rnacentral:rRNA from 1 species
AACUUGGCUUUUACUCACUGUUGUCAUUGUCUUUGCCCAAGGUAUAUGCCUUGUGUGCAUGGCAUUGACCUUCUAUUUUAUGGUAAUGUUGUAUCUUUCGGGGUACAUUCAUUCCAUAUAGUUUACUUUGAAAAAAUUAGGGUGUUUAAAGCAGGCGAAAAGGCUUCGGAAUAUAUUAGCAUGGGAUAAUAGAAUACGAUCUAGGUCGUAAUUUGUUGGUUUCUACGGCUUAGGUAAUGAUUGACAGGGAUAGUUGGGGUCGCUCGUAUUGAGUUGUCAGAGGUGAAAUUCUAGGAUUAACUCAAGACGAACUAAUGCGAAAGCAUUCGGCAAGGAUGUUUUCAUUAAUCAAGAACGAAAGUUGGGGGAUCGAAGAUGAUCAGAUACCGUCGUAGUCUCAACUGUAAACUAUGUCGACCGAGGAUCCGGUAGCGUUACAUGGAUGACCUUCCGGGCACUCUGUGAGAAAUCAUAAGUAUUUGGAUUUCGGGGGGAGUAUGGUCGCAAGGCUGAAACUUAAAGGGAUUGACGGAAGGGCACCACCAGGAGUGGAAUCUGCGGCUUAAUUUGACCCAACACGGGAAAACUUACCAGGUCCGGACACAGUGAGGAUUGACAGAUUGAGAGCUCUUUCUUGAUUUUGUGGGUGGUGGUGCAUGGCCGUUUUUAGUUGGUGGAGUGAUUUGUCUGGUUAAUUCCGUUAACGAACGAGACCUUAACCUAUUAAAUAGCUGCGCGAACCCAGGUUCUUUAACCAUUCUCUCCUUCGGGGGGGCGUGGUAUCAUUAUUUUGCUUUUCACUUUCGGGUGGGAGGUAGGGUAGUGAUAGGGCCUGAGAUGAGUUGGUGAUUUGGCUUCUUAGAGGGACUACUUGCAUCCUUAGCAAGGGGAGGUUUGAGGCAAAAACAGGUCUGUGAUGCCCUUCGAUGUUCUGGGCUGCGCGCGCGUUACACUGGCGCAUGCAAAGAGUUUAAAAUUCCUGUCCCGAUGGGGUUGGGAAAUCUUUUUAAAGUGCGUCGUGAUGGGGAUAGAGCAUUGAAAUUAUUGCUCUUGAACGAGGAAUUCCUAGUAAUUGCAGGUCAUCAACCUGCAAUGAUUACGUCCCUGCCCUUUGUACACACCGCCCGUCGCUCCUACCGAUGGUUGAACCGAUGAGGACUCGGGAUGAUCUUAUUAGAUCGGUCGGUCGAAAGAUCGAUAGACUAUUAGGUCAGAACUUGUUCAAAUCUUUUUAACUAGAGGAAGGAGAAGUCGUAACAAGGUUUCCGUAGGUGAACCUGCGGAAG